CGGCGGACGGGUGAGUAACGCGUGGGUAACCUGCCUCAUACAGGGGGAUAACAGUUUGAAAUGACUGCUAAUACCGCAUAAGACCGCAGGAUCGCAUGAUCCGGUGGUAAAAACUCCGGUGGUAUGAGAUGGACCCGCGUCUGAUUAGCUAGUUGGUGGGGUAACGGCCCACCAAGGCGACGAUCAGUAGCCGACCUGAGAGGGUGACCGGCCACAUUGGGACUGAGACACGGCCCAA
rnacentral:rRNA from 1 species